rnacentral:misc_RNA from 1 species
GUAUAUAAAUGCGUUAUACGCAGAGAUACAUUCUUAAACUGAAGCGUUUGUAAAAACAUAGGAAGGCUUCCAAGCAAGUCUAAUCACUUAGACUUACUCUUCCACCGACCUACAAUAAGUGCACAGAGGUUGAAGAGUGGAUGAGCCAGGCGUGCACAUGCCCCUGAAGGCCAGCUACAACCUGUUCAAUAACUCGUUAAUGAUCCUUCCGCAGGUUCACCUACGGAAA